AACCCUUGAGGGACAUCUGAUAAAAUUGGGACGAUAUAGAGAAGAUUGACAUUGGCCCUGCACAGGGAUGAUAUGCACAAAUGGAAAAAUGGUUCGAUUAAA